rnacentral:rRNA from 1 species
ACUGCUCAGUAACACGUGGAUAAUCUGCCCUUAGGUGGAGAAUAACCUCGGGAAACUGAGAAUAAUACUCCAUAGAUCUAGGAUGCUGGAAUGCACUUAGAUUGAAAGUUCCGACGCCUAAGGAUGAGUCUGCGGACUAUCAGGUAGUAGUCAGGGUAAAGGCCUGACUAGCCUACGACGGAUACGGGUUGUGAGAGCAAUAACCCGGAGACGAUAUCUGAGACACGAUAUCGGGCCCUACGGGGCGCAGCAGGCGCGAAACCUUCACAAUGUGCGAAAGCACGAUGAGGGGAUCCCAAGUGCUUGCUCGUAAGAGUAAGCUGUUUUUAUGUCUAAAAAGCAUAGAGAGUAAGGGCUGGGUAAGACGGGUGCCAGCCGCCGCGGUAAUACCUGCAGCUCAAGUGGUGACCACUAUUAUUGGGCCUAAAACGUUCGUAGCCGGUUUGGUAAAUGCCUGGGUAAAUCGUGUAGCUUAACUAUACGAAUUCCGGGUAGACUGCCAAACUUGAGACCGGGAGAAGCUAGAGGUACUCCUGGGGUAGAGGUGAAAUUCUGUAAUCCUGGGGGGACCACCAGUGGCGAAGGCGUCUAGCUAGAACGGGUCUGACGGUGAGGAACGAAGCCCUGGGGCGCAAACCGGAUUAGAUACCCGGGUAGUCCAGGGUGUAAACGCUGCUUGCUUGAUGUUAGUUGGGCUCCGAGCCCAAUUAGUGUCGGAGAGAAGUUGUUAAGCAAGCUGCCUGGGAAGUACGAUCGCAAGAUUGAAGCUUAAAGGAAUUGGCGGGGGAGCAC